UACGGAGGGGGCUAGCGUUGUUCGGAAUCACUGGGCGUAAAGCGCACGUAGGCGGAUCUUUAAGUCAGGGGUGAAAUCCUGGAGCUCAACUCCAGAACUGCCUUUGAUACUGGGGAUCUCGAGUCCGGAAGAGGUGAGUGGAACUCCGAGUGUAGAGGUGAAAUUCGUAGAUAUUCGGAAGAACACCAGUGGCGAAGGCGGCUCACUGGUCCGGUACUGACGCUGAGGUGCGAAAGCGUGGGGAGCAAACAGG
rnacentral:rRNA from 1 species